CUCUCUCACCACACCAGAACCUGAGAUAUACUGAAAUUGGGAAUAGCUUUUCUGCUCUUACUGAUUCUUAUGGCAUUUCCUCUAGGCUUGUGGAUCAAUCACAAAUAAGCAAUCUAUCUCCUUUCAUGCAAAUGUCCCUUCAGCAUUCUAGGAAUGGGCUUAUGUCAAAUGGGCACUGGGAUGGCUGGAAUGAGUUUCAGGGUGGAAACAAUCUUGGUGUCGCAGAACUCCUGCGUAAUGAGAGACUGGGAUUGAACGAGUUCUACAAUGCUGGGUAUGAAGAUUCUAAGUUUCGAAUGCCAAGCUCAGGAGACUUGUAUAACAGAACAUUUGAGAUGUGAACACUGUUGGAAUGACAUUUUUUUUACCUGGCUAGCAAUGGCCAAUCGAGAAGCAUAAAUGAUCUUUAUGCAAUUAUGUGGCCUUGUACUGAAGUAUGGGACGGACUCAUCAAUGGUCUCUUUGGGCAGCCUAAUGAAGGAUAAACUCCCGAAAAUCGGGGUCUUGAAGGCAGCAGGUGGACGAAGCUGCAACCUACAUUUGAUAUGAAGAUUGUAUUGUGAAAUGAUGUAUAAUGUGAAACUGGCGGGUUGAUCCUCUAGUCGGUUGAUUGUUUUGCUCCUUGUUAUAUAGGAAAGAGUAAAUUUUGGUUGC
rnacentral:misc_RNA from 1 species